rnacentral:lncRNA from 13 species
CUUGCCCGCUCCUGCGCUCCGGCCGCCGCCGCUCCCGCCGCGCCGCCCGCGCCUCAGCGCCACCGCGGGCAGCCCACGGCCCGGCGCUGGGGGGCAGGCGGCUGGCGGGGCCGGGGGCCCGCGGGCACCUCCGGGGCCGGCGCCGCCGCCGCUCCUCAGGGCUCCCGCCCCGCGCGCCGCCGACCCGGCAGGGCUCCGGCUCGGCCGCCGCCGCUCGGUGCCCGAGGAUGCCCGCGCCUCUGCCGCGUCCCCGCUCGUCUCCGCGCAGCGCGGGGACGGCUCCGCUUCAUAUUUCCCCUUCCAGCAGGAGGAGGAGGAGUGGUCGGGAGGAAGAAAAAGUACAUUUGGUAGUAAUUGUCUGACGUGAAGGCAUCUACACACGGAGUUCUCUGCUCAUCAUGCAAGUGUGGUAAACUCCUCGAGAUAUUUUUAAAGGAGACUUUUACAGAGGUUGCCUCCAUUAUGAAUCGAGGGGCAGACAGCUGCUGCUGCUGCUUUCACUUUGGUCUCUCCCAGAUCUGGAGGAAUCUGAUGUGGUCAAACAAACCUCUAUCACCAAGUACCAGGUUGUUCCAGGUUUUGUCCAAGUUUAUACAGUUCAGAAGUUUUCUACUGCAGUCAGUGGGAGUUUCACCUCUGAUUUCAACAGAAUUGGGGCACAGAGAAGAGGAAUUAUUUGUGGAAUGCAGCAUCAGCCAAGUCUCAACACACACUCUGGAAAGAAUUGGCGUAGGCUCACCUGGUUUUGCGUGCAGAGGAGUCUUGAAGUGUAGGAGUUUGGACUGGUUUUUCUUUUUCUUUCUCUUCAUUAUUACUACAAAAAAACAGAUGCAAAUCUCCCAUUGCCUGCUUGCUUUUCACAUUUCUCAAAGUCAGAAUAGCUGUAGCUUUCAGUAGGACUUACCUUGUUGCAAACA